rnacentral:rRNA from 1 species
AUGGCGGCACGCUAACUAAAGCAAGUCGAACGGAUCCCUCGGGAUUAGUGGCGGACGGGUGAGUAGGAACGUGCCCUUUGGUUCGGAACAACUCAGUGAAACUUGAUGCUAAUACCGUGAUGUGCCCUUCGGGGGAAAGAUUUAUCGCCAUUGGAGCGGCCCGCGUCUGAUUAGCUAGUUGGUGGGGUAAAGGCCCACCAAAGCGACGAUCAGUAGCUGGUCUGAGAGGAUGAUCAGCCACAUUGGGACUGAGACACGGCCCAACUCAUAGGGAGGAGCAGCUGGGGAAUCUGCGCAAUGCGCACAACCUGUCCAACCAUCCGCGUGACUACGAAAGUCUACGAUUGUCAAUUCU